UCCGGAUUGGUGUAGGGGUUAACAUUGCCGCCUCUCACGAAAUUUAGAUUAUGUAAUGUGAUUACAUAAUCAGUGUCCGCGGCAGCCCGGGGUUCGAUUCCCCGAUCCGGAA